CACGUAGGGGACGAGCGUUGUCCGGAUUCAUUGGGCGUAAAGCGCGCGUAGGCGGCUCGGAAAGUCGGUCGUGAAAUGCCGGGGCUCAACCCCGGGACUGCGUCCGAUACUCCCGAGCUGGAGGCAGGUAGGGGAGAUCGGAAUUCCUGGUGUAGCGGUGAAAUGCGUAGAUAUCUGGAGGAACACCGGUGGCGAAGGCGGCGUUCUGGACUGUAUCUGACACUGAGGAACGAAAGCCAGGGGAGCAAACGGG
rnacentral:rRNA from 1 species